rnacentral:rRNA from 1 species
GUGUCAGCCGCCGCGGUAAUACGUAGGGUGCAAGCGUUAAUCGGAAUUACUGGGCGUAAAGCGUGCGCAGGCGGUUAUAUAAGACAGAUGUGAAAUCCCCGGGCUCAACCUGGGAACUGCAUUUGUGACUGUAUAGCUAGAGUACGGUAGAGGGGGAUGGAAUUCCGCGUGUAGCAGUGAAAUGCGUAGAUAUGCGGAGGAACACCGAUGGCGAAGGCAAUCCCCUGGACCUGUACUGACGCUCAUGCACGAAAGCGUGGGGAGCAAACAGGAUUAGAAACCCUAGUAGUUC